GUGCAUUAUCAACCCGCGAGUAAAGCGCUCGCUUUCCGGUGAGCUUUAUAGUGACCAUAGGAAUACGACGGCUUGAGAUCCCCGCAAGCCUUCGGACGGGUUCCACGUCAUCCGAAUGCAAUUCUCGAUACUCGCAACUUUCAUUGAGAAAUAUGUGCCUAGGACGCGUGGGUGGUGAUCUACCAACGCUCGGCGCGCAGCCCCAGGGCCGUCACCACAUCAAGGGGGAAAUUCAGGAAAAAUCCAGGGUUUACCCGCGCCCAAAUUCCGGACGUGAUCUCUACCUCGGCGACUCCUUUCAACACGUUCCGUGCCACGUGUACCAGAGUUGAUAUACGUUAACGCGUACCAAUGGAUACCUCGGAGCGUAUCAAAGGAGAUUCUCGCUACGACCCUGGACGGCGCAUUCGGAGAGAACGGUGAAGUCGCAUGCUCGCCUUCGUCCUACGUGCUCAAGAGAGGCAUAACGCAACAUAUCCGCUUUCAGGUGAGAAGGCAAGGCCUUUUCCUUCAGCAGCGCCUCGUAGUGUUCCUUGGCCAGCCGGUACUUGCCCUGGACCUCAUAAAGGUGGGCCACGUGAAACUUAACUGGAAACAAAGGAAGACGAGCCCCAGGAAAACUGAAGUCAAGGAGGCGCCCCAUGCCCGUCGCGUCACCCUGUGCAACGAAUCCGUACACCACGGGGCAACAAAUUACCCGACAAGUGAAGAGGCCGGAAUAACAAUGAAUUAUCCCGCCAACACGAUAACUCUCCGUGGCCGAUGAAGCCGAUUCCCCGCCAGCCGGUUGCUCAACUCCUUUGUCAGCGAUUACGUUCAUCCAGGGCGAGCUCGCGCGUAUGCAUUGUUACGGGCCACGGGGAUGCGUAACGCGUUUCGAUCGACAUCGGGUACUCUAAGCGGGAGAAGUGCGCACGGAACGUGUCUCUAGAAUCCACGUAACGUGUCUCUCUAGAAUCCACGUAACGACGUAACCCGGCGUACGCGUUGCGACAAAGUGGCCCGAGCAAGCAUUCAUUUCUGCCCCCCCUCUCGCCUUUGUAGCGGCGCAUUUACAAGGCAAUAAACCGCCGGGAAAUUUCAUAACGCGUCCAUUUCGCAACCGUAACCGCCGCCGUCUCUUGCCCACGUGGCGUUUUCCAGGCGGCAUCUUUCGACUCCCUCGGCGACAACCUUGGCGCUCUCCGUUUCCCGUUACACCGUGGCGGCUAUUUAUACGCGCGUAGGAGCACCUCGUGUACACGACUUGGAAUCGACUUACGAUUUCCUGACGGGUACAAUAACUAUUAUCGCCCUCCCGACAGGCGUGACGAGUGGCAACGAGGAGCCUGUCUAUUUACCCCAGCGACUCCGCGUCUAUCCGGCGACAAAUGUCACCCUACGGGGGAUGUACAUCGAUAUAGAAGUAUUACAAUCCAUAUGUAC